rnacentral:rRNA from 1 species
UGGGGAAUAUUGCACAAUGGAGGGAACUCUGAUGCAGCGACGCCGCGUGAACGAAGAAGGCUUUCGAGUCGUAAAGUUCUUUUAUAUGGGAAGAUAAUGACGGUACCAUAAGAAGAAGCCCCGGCUAACUACGUGCCAGCAGCCGCGGUAAUACGUAGGGGGCUAGCGUUGUCCGGAAUCACUGGGCGUAAAGGGUUCGCAGGCGGAAAUGCAAGUCAGGUGUAAAAGGCAGUAGCUUAACUACUGUAAGCAUUUGAAACUGCAUAUCUUGAGAAGAGUAGAGGUAAGUGGAAUUUUUAGUGUAGCGGUGAAAUGCGUAGAUAUUAAAAAGAAUACCGGUGGCGAAGGCGACUUACUGGGCUCAUUCUGACGCUGAGGAACGAAAGCGUAGGUAGCAAACAGG